rnacentral:rRNA from 1 species
AUUGAACGCUGGCGGCAGGCUUAACACAUGCAAGUCGAGCGGGGUGAUGGUGCUUGCACUAUCACUUAGCGGCGGACGGGUGAGUAAUGCUUAGGAAUCUGCCUAUUAGUGGGGGACAACAUCUCGAAAGGGAUGCUAAUACCGCAUACGUCCUACGGGAGAGAGCAGGGGAUCACUUGUGACCUUGCGCUAAUAGAUGAGCCUAAGUCGGAUUAGCUAGUUGGUAGGGUAAAGGCCUACCAAGGCGACGAUCUGUAGCGGGUCUGAGAGGAUGAGCCGCCACACUGGGACUGAGACACGGCCCAGACUCCUACGGGAGGCAGCAGUGGGGAAUAUUGGACAAUGGGGGGAACCCUGAUCCAGCCAUGCCGCGUGUGUGGAGAAGGCCUUAUGGUUGUAAAGCACUUUAAGCGAGGAGGAGGCUCUUUUGGUUAAUACCCAAGAUGAGUGGACGUUACUCGCAGAAUAAGCACCGGCUAACUCUGUGCCAGCAGCCGCGGUAA